GAUGAACGCUGACAGAAUGCUUAACACAUGCAAGUCUUUGGCGAAGCUGUGCUUGCACAGCCUAGCCAAGGCGGACGGGUGAGUAACGCGUAAGGAACUUGCCCUGCAGUCAGGGAUAACAGACGGAAACGACUGAUAAGACCUGGUGAAGUCAGGCGGACUCAUGUCCAGCCUGAUGAAAAGAGAUGCUGCAGGAGAGCCUUGCGUCCUAUUAGCUUGUUGGUGGGGUAACGGCCCACCAAGGCGAUGAUAGGUAGCCGGCCUGAGAGGGUGGACGGCCACAAGGGGACUGAGAUACGGCCCUUACUCCUACGGGAGGCGGCAGUGGGGAAUAUUGGACAAUGGGGGCAACCCUGAUCCAGCAAUUCUGUGUGCACGAUGAAGGUUUUCGGAUUGUAAAGUGCUUUCAGCAGGGAAGAAAAAAAUGACGGUACCUGCAGAAGAAGCGACGGCUAAAUACGUG
rnacentral:rRNA from 1 species